UGUUGAUUGUUUGAAAGUUUUCUCCAAUAACAUGGGGAAGAAAACUGAUCCAGUGAUCACAAAGUGCAAGGAGAGUGACAACUGGACCAAGGUGACUUUUAAGCCAGAUUUGGCUAAGUUUAACAUGACACAUUUAGAAGAUGAUGUUGUUGCGCUGAUGAAAAAGAGAGUUUUUGAUAUGGCUGGAUGCCUUGGGAAUAAUGUGAAAGUGGAACUUAAUGGAAAACGAGUUCCUGUGCUAUUAAACCAAGCAUUUAAACCAAGCAAUGAGAUGCAUUUGAUAAUGAGAAACUUUUAGCUUCUAUGGAUAAGCUGAGGAAUGGGCAAGCAGUAGAUAUUCCAAACUAUGACUUCAAGAGUUACAAAAACAAUGUCUUCCCGCCUAGAAGGGUAAACCCUUCAGAUGUGAUAAUUUUGGAAGGCAUUCUCAUUUUUCAUGAUCCCCGUGUUCGAGAGUUGAUGAAUAUGAAGAUAUUUGUUGAUACAUUGCAGAUGCUGAUGUUCGUUUAGCAAGGAGGAUAAGGCGUGACACAGUAGAAAAAAACAGGGAUAUUGGUACAGUUCUUGAUCAGGUGAUUUAUUCUUCAAAGACAACAUGCCCAUGCCUAUACCUGCUUGUACUCUAAGUUGAGG